rnacentral:misc_RNA from 1 species
UACAGAGGGUGCAAGCGUUAAUCGGAAUUACUGGGCGUAAAGGGCGCGUAGGCGGAUGAUUAAGUUAGAUGUGAAAUCCCUGGGCUUAACCUAGGAACUGCAUUUAAUACUGGUUAUCUGGAGUGCAGUAGAGGAUAGUGGAAUUUCCGGUGUAGCGGUGAAAUGCGUAGAUAUCGGAAGGAACACCAGUGGCGAAGGCGGCUAUCUGGACUGACACUGACGCUGAGGCGCGAAAGCGUGGGGAUCAAACAGG